rnacentral:tRNA from 1 species
GCCUGGGUGGCUCAGUCGGUUGGGCGUCUGACUUCAGCUCAGGUCACGAUCUCACGGUCCGUGAGUUUGAUCCCCACGUCGGGCU